AAACACUACAUUUCACUUAUCAUAUACUUAUACACUACUCACUCAAGCCAUCAAAUAGUUCUCUUUGGACGAGGGAUAAUAAAAAAUGUUCAAAUAUAAUGAAAAAAAAAAAUAUACUACUAGUAAUCUAACAUUCUUACACAGAAAACACUACAGUACAUUACAAAAUAUUAUUCGUUCUCAUAGAUUUGCAACUAAGGGUAUGUUUGGUAGCCCCAUAAAAAUCAUAAAAGAACAUAAAAGGCCAUAAAAGGCCUUCUUCUUCCUCCUUCUCAUACGUUUGGUAGAUAUCAGAUUUAUCUGCAAACCCGGUAGAAAAAAUCCGGAUCUUGCAGGAUUUGAGAUUAGAUUCAGCGUUUGAGUCAUUCCACUAUCCGAGACGAAAGCAGGUAUUAUUUUUUCUCAACUUGUCCGAUACCUGAUUUGUAGCUUCAUGCCUAAUUUGCCCUCCCUUCCACCACUAUUCGACAUCUACAACUGCAUACCCAUAACCACAAGACAAAGACACUGCUUCACGGUGGUGCCGCCGUCGUGGCUCGCGUGGAGCCCCAACUGCCAAGGCGGCACGACGCUUGGAUGCCCGCUGCUAAGCGAUUUCGGCUGCAAUGUGCCGUCGCCGGAGCCGCACCCCACGAACCGAUUUUUAUCGGAUAGUGGUGGAAGGGAGGGCGGAGUAGAGGAGAAAUUGGGGAGUCUUUGAGGAGGAUUUUGCUCCUGUCAUUCUCCGUUGUCCUAUUUGGGCAUAAUUUAUGCAGAUUUAUGGAGAAGGGGGGCAAAGAGAGGGAGGGAGAGGCAAGAAGGGAGGCGAAGAGAGGGAGGGAGAGGCAGAGGGGUCAUGAGGAAGAAGAGAGGGAGAAGAGAGUUAUUUGCCUUAAGAAAGGAAGGACAUAAAUGGUAGCACAAUGUUUAGUAUGAUUUUCCAGUAAAUUGACUUUGGCCUACCAAACAAUGGUUUAAG